AUCAGGAUGGCGGAGUGGUCUAAGGCACCAGAUGCAAGGUGCGCACCUUGCCUGGGGGCAUUCUGGUCUCCUAAUGGAGGCGUGGGUUCAAAUCCCACCUCUGACA
rnacentral:tRNA from 1 species